rnacentral:pre_miRNA from 24 species
CCCUGCCGGGGCUAAAGUGCUGACAGUGCAGAUAGUGGUCCUCUCUGUGCUACCGCACUGUGGGUACUUGCUGCUCCAGCAGGG